rnacentral:lncRNA from 1 species
AAAAUAAAAUAAAAAAUGGUAAUUUUUUUGUAGAAUAUCACAUCUUUAGAUUUUUAUGUUGUAUAUGAUAUCACAUCUUUAGCACAAAUAACAACUUAAUGUCAUAAUUCGAAAUAAAUAUUUUAGCUUCUUAAAGCCUUACAAUUAUACUUAUAAUAAAAUAACUUAUCUAAUAUAUUAUCAAGAUCCAACAAAAGAAAUCAAGACCAUUAUUGAAUCCACCCCUGAUGUCACAAUACCAGAGCCUUACAAUCGAACUAAACAUAAACAAUAAUUCAAUAAACUUUCAAUAUACUUUCAAGAACAUCAUGGCAUAGGUUAGAAAACAUUUCUCCACUUUAUUCUCGGGAAAAAAAAAAUUCGAUACUACACCUUAGUCUUGUCUUGAAGAUAACCUACAUAUAAAUCACAGAAGAGAGAAGAGUAGAAUAGAAAAUAAAGGGUAAGAGAUAUUAUACAUCAUUUAAAGUAGUAUAACAAUAGAGACAAAUAAAAAAAGUAAUAGUUUUUUAGGUUUCUAAAUGUGUAACAAGUAGGCACAAUAGUCACUUAAUGUAUCGAAAUUUAAAAAUUAUCCUUAAUUGUACAAUAUAUUAGUCAAAAUAGUCAUUUACGUUAAAAUGUCUCUUUAUUAUUUUCAUACUAAUUAAUCCUUCAAUAUAAAGUAUUUGUUGUCAUAUCAGUCCCUAUAUUGAAAGAGUUAAUGUCGAAAUUGAGAGACUAAUUUGACCUUAAGAAUUAUUUUGACCAGUAAAGUGCAGAAUUAAAAACAAUUUUGAAAAUUCUAUACAUUGAGGAACUAUUAUGAUUAUUGGUUACAAAUUCAGGGAUCAAAAUUACCAUCACCUAAAAAACACAAGGAUCCAUUUAAAUCACUAAACUAUAUGGUUUGUAUAUAAUUGUUCAAGAGAUGUAUAUCAAAUGUACUGAUCUUCCACCUUUACACUAUAUGCAUUCUGUACAAUUAAAACAUACUCAAUAUAGUAGAUAGAAGAACAUAUUCAAUUAAUGAAGAGCAAUACUCCUUUGAGUACUCAAGAUAGUAUAUUGCACUAUAUGCGUGAGAUAUUUGGUGAUGAUUUAUAAAAGAAAUUGCAAUAAUCAUCUAUACUAUGUAUAAAGAAAAUAUAUUUAAUAUACAUGAGUUUCAGCCGACUUGUUCAUUACAUUUUUACCCUUCGUUUAAACUAUUUUAUUUACUAUUUUAUUCUUUAAUAAUAUUAUUUUAAAUUUUAAAUAAAAAUAAAUAAAUCCCAGUAAAAUAAGAAAUGUCCUACUAUAAUAGAAAGAAUAUCAUUAAUAUUAUGUAUGAUGGGGAUAGAGAUUUUGGGUUAAUUUUUUUAUAAUUCUAAUUAUAUCCUUGAACAAAUUUUCAUAUAUUAAUGUUAAAUUGCCGGUGGUAUUAAUAAAGAUAAUGGUUUAUAUUAUAUUUGUUAAAUUAAUUUUGUUAUUGAAAAAGAGAAACAUGGUCUUUUGAAUUUGUUACAAUUUGAAAGUCAUGAAUAUUUGUUCUUAUAAUUUUAAUCAAAAUCAAAAUUUCAUAUAAAAAUAAAGUUCAUAAUUUAAUGUGUUAGCCCAAUAAAAAGAACGGAUUCAGUAGUAAACAUAAAGAAUGCUGUAAAUUAUUUUCUUGCCACAUUGGAUAUGACAGAAGAAAAGUCUCAUGUGAUAGCUAUAAUGCAUAUAGGAAUUAAGAUAACCACAAACCAAAUAAUGUUUGUUAAAUUAAAUGUUUUUAACUGAAUAUGAAAAUACAAAGGAAUAGUAAUAGAAAAUUGGCCUUCAAAAAAUAAUAGAAAAUUGAAAAAAUCAUUAUAAAAGAGGAACCAUACUUAAGGAAGGAAGGAAAACAUUUCCUUCUGGUUAAACUAGUGAAUUUCGGGAAAUAAAAUUAGGGUGAAUUAGUUAAAGAGGAACCGUACUUAAGGAAGGAAAUAAAUUUUGGUUUUCAUGAUUGGUGGAGACAUCCACUUUUUUGUAUGAGUGCAUGUAAUUUUGUUAUUUCUUUUUCGGUGGUGGCAACCUCUUAUUAGGUGUCAUGACUUUGUAACAGAUAUUGUGUGAUUCAUCACUUUUAGCACAUCUUGUGCGGGGUGAAUCACUUUUCGUUUUAGCAAUAUAUUUCAUUUUGAUUUAUUAAAAAAAAACCAUAAACCUUGAGGAGGGAAUGGUAAAAUAGAUUAAUAUAUUCAAGUAUGCAUAGAUUUCUUAACGAUUCUUCGGAAUUUCGAGUUAUUGAGUUGCAUAUGUAUGUAUUUUUCUUAGUAAUAUUUGUGUGACAUGGAUUUAAAUAUUAAGAUUCUUAUGUUAUAUUUCCAUCAAGCUAAGGUAUUUUAUCUUUUUUCAACACUUGAAUUUGGUUCUUUUAUCAACUUUAAGUGACGCUUGAAUUUAGUUUCUUUAAGUAUGAGUCUUUUGUGAAUAAUGGUUGAGAAAACGAGACAACGAGAGUGGUACUAGAAUUUGAAAAAAAAUAAAAAAUUGAAAGAAGUAUAUCUUUUUAUUUUCCUUCAAAAAAAAAAAGUAUAUCUUUUUAUUUAUUCGAAAUUCACUACACUUACAAAAUUACACUUAUUUUAUACUCUUUUUUUUAAAUAGAAUAAAAUAUCAUUUUUUUGUAAAAAUAUAGAAGGUGCACACUAUAAACUUACAUCUUCAUGAGAAAAGAAAAUGAAAGGUUUAGACGUAAUAGAAAAAAAUUACCUUAUUUAUACCAAAGAACACAAACAUUUUCAACGCAUUUCCAAAUUUUAAAAAGAGGUUUCUUGCUUUUGUAACAAUCAUCAACAAUACCACAAUAUUCUGUAAUGUAAAAUAAGAAUAAAUUAAUACUAAUAAAAAGGAAAUAAAGAAUGUGUAUAAGAUAAUAAACAAAUGUGAAUGAACUUACUUAUAUGACCUAUAUCUUCGAAGAUUACAACAAGAAACAGGUGAACAAAAAGGAUGAAUGUAUAAAUAAAUUUGAACAUUUCUCCCAUUGUUUUUCCCCUUUGCGUGAAAUAAGUGUAAAAUUAUUUUAUCACUUUAUAUAGUAAAAAAUCAAAUGAUAUGUUUACAUCAACAAAACAGUUUUUAAUAAUUAUGUUGUUGUAAUUAAUACUUUUUGAAAAUUAAAAUAAUUAUUAAAUGUCUCUUUAAUACGUUGAUGUAUCGUAGUUGUCUCUUUGGCUCAUAGAAUAGAUGUCUCAAAAUUAUUACUUUCUUUUAUACAAAUCAUAAAAUUAUUACUUAUAAAUAGAGCUCAUUAUUGUUUAACAACCUUUCAUUAUUAUUUUUUAUUUCUUAGCCAGCCUUUCAUAAUAGAGAUAGGAAAACCAAUAUUAUAUUAUGUUGAUAUGAGUGGGUGUGGAAUCACACAACGUGAAUAAGGUCUCUUGUUUGAGUCUUGUGGUUAAAUAAAACGUGAAGUAGAAACCUUAUUAAAGGGUGUCAAUAGGAUUAUUUGGUUGGUAUAAGUCAUUGAUAGUCAAUGGAUACUUUGCACAUGUAACAUAGUGAAGAAAAAAAUAAGGAAAAUGACAAAAGAUAAAUAAUAAUGUAGAAUGAAGACAAAAUUAGUUGCAGGAGUAAUGAACUCAUGAUAUGAUAAUAACUUUAUGUAUUUAUUAAAAGUAGGGUAUUUGCGGUGGGGUUUGGAUCGGUUUUGAUGUAAAAAGUCAUCCGAUUAAAAAAUUAAAAUCGCAUGUGGUGCAGUUUGGUUUGGAUGAAUAUUCUAAAAAAAUCCAAUCUCAUAUGAUCCAAAUGUAUGCGAUUUAUUUUGGAUUAGUUUUCGGAUAUCCAAAAUGCAACAUGUAAUAUUUUUUGUUAAUAUUAAUAUUACAAAUACACGAAAAAAAUAAUAGUUUGAUUUUUUUUUUGACAAGUCAAAUAGAAAAAAUGAAAAAUAAUAGUUUGAUGAAAAAUAAAAUAUAAAUAUAUUAUAAUAUUAACAUUACAAAAUAAAAAUGAUCGAUUAUAUUCGACACAUAUAAAGAAGUAAUAAUGGAGAUUAAAUUAUUGUAAUAUAUAAGAUUAAAAACAAAAAAGUUAUAUAUUAAUGCAAUAUAUAAUACUAAUGAAAUAAUAAUUAAGUAUUAAAAUGUACAUUUGCGGUUUGGUUUAGUUUGGUUCAGUUUUGAAAACGUGAUCUGAAAUUCGAUCUGAUUGUAGCGGUUUUACAAAACAAAACAAUACCCAAACGUAUCAAAAAAAUAUUCGAUUUUUAACAGUUUUUGAUUUUUUUUUUAUUAGUUUACGACUUUAUUUUGUAUCAGUUUUGAUUUGAACAUCCUAAUUGAAAGUAUUGAUAGUCAAUGGAUCAUAUGCAUAUUUAUAUUGUCUUUCACCUUUAAUUAUCUUAGUUGUCAAUAUCAUUAGUUAAUUUUAAAAGUUAUUUGAUGUAGUUUAAUGAUCUUUAGUUCUUGAAUGUAAUAAAUUGUUCACUCUUUCAAUUCAUUGACUAACUGAACAUUCUUUUUAGCUUUGUUUUGUUUCAUUAGUUUAACGCAAUAAUGAGAUCAUAUGGAGUAUUUCUAUCAUAUCUAAAGUUAUAAAUGUAUAAAUUGAUUCAAAUCAAUUUCAAAUUUACUUUUGUUCAACUGAGCUUUAACAAAGAAACUCAAAUUGUGAUGACAACUCACAAAUUGAUUCCAAAUCUUGGAGUGUGAUGGUAAAACUUACGGUGGGAUAGCAUCCGUUUAGACAAAUAUAAUAAAAUGAAUCUAUACUUCUAUAUGUAUGCUAUAUAUAAAGAAAAUAACUUAUUUAAACUCUUUUGGAGUGACUAUUUCUCUUUCCAAAAAUACUCUCAAUUUUUAAUACAAUUUUUUUUUAACCAAAAAGGUAGCUAGCAAAGAACUAGACUACCAAAAAUAUAUAUAUAUAUAAAAGGAAGAGAAAAAUACAAAGAAAAGGAGGGUGGCCAAACCAAACCUCCUUAAUGAGUAACAAACCUAAAGUUAAGCAUCUCUAACUUGUUCUGAGAUACAAAAGCGAUAAUGCUACUAGGGAGCUGCAUCCAGAUGUAAGGAACAUUACAAGUUAAACCUAUGUUUGCCAAGUGAUCAACAUAUUGGUUACCUUCCCUAAAAAUAUGUGAUACAAUGAAAUUCAUGUUGCUAACAGUGUUCAAGCAGUUAUCCCAUCUAUUCCUUAACCUCCAAGGGACUAAGGCUUUGUUCUUGAAAGCAUUAAUCACUAGCAUUGAAUAAAGUUCUAGUCAAUUGAACCAAUUGAAUUGUUUUGCUAAUUCAAUCGCUCCCAAAACACCUUUUUUCUUUUUAAAGAAAAAAUAGCUCAGUAGCGUGCUGAGACUAUCCAGAAUAUAUUAAAAGAAACAAAAACAAAGCAAAAGAGAGAGGGGGGCCAAACCAAACCUCUUCAAGAGUUUACAAACCUAAAACAAGGCAGCCCGAGCCUGUUUUGAGUAUAGAACCCUCUAACACAAUCAGGUAAAUCUAACCAUAUAGUGAGAUGAUCUAGAGUGAGGCCAAUAUUGGCCAAAGCAUCAGCACAACAAUUACCCUCUCUAAACACAUGUGUAACUAGAAAGUUCAUGCCUCUGACAAUAUGCAAGUAGUUGUUCCAACGGUUUCUCAGUUUCCAAGGAAUGAGGGAAUGGUUCUUGAAAGCAUUCACCACCAGAGCUGAAUCUGAUUCAAGCCAGAGGGAUUUCCAUUGAUGACUUGCAGCAAUCUCUAUUGCUCCCAUAGCUCCUGAAAGUUCAGCAUGGUAAGCAUUUCCAACCCCAAUAUUCUCUGCAAAGCAAAGGAGGAACAUAGAGUCUUUAUUCCUGAAAAUUCCCCCACAAGAAGAGGAUGUAUUAUAGCUGCACCAUCUGUGUUGCAUUUAAUCCAGUCAAAGAUAGGAGGGUGCCAGACAACUUCUAUUAUUUUGGGAGCUUUUGGAGGAUGAAUAGACACAUUGAACUUCUUCAAGAUAAUAAAAUCAGUGAUGGAUGAUGAAUCUACUGUUUUGGAGAGAUUACUCGUCAGGGAAACACUAGAGAUAAUGGUAGAGAUAGAUGACUUCCAAUGGAUCUUCUUGUCUUGAAACCUUAGCUGAUUUCUAGCAAACCAAAUAACAUUAAGAGUGUUAAUAAUGGCUGCAGUGAUAGUGAGCUUGCAUUGAGGAUUCCAAUUUCUGGAGCAUAGAUUCCAAAUGUCUUCUAUAUUUUGGAAAUUCAAAUUGAUGUUCAGUAUGGAAGCAAACCAAUUCCAGAUAUUAAUUGCAUAAGGACAUUGUAGAAACAGGUGAAAUGAUGUUUCCAAACUAUUCAGACAGAGGGAACACAUGGAAGGAAGAGAGCAACCUCUUAGGGACAAAUUCUCAUUAGUGGGAAGCUUGUUAUGCAUGAGUCUCCAUGCAAGAAGAGAUUUUGAUGGAGGAAUAUCUCUUGACCAAAUUGUUUUGGUCCAAGUAUUCUCAGCAAAACAAAGAAGAAAAUCUGAAUUAUGGUUUCGAAAUAUACCACCACAGCCGGAGGAGAGAGAGGUUGAGGACCCAUUAGAAUUGCACUUUAUCCAAUUUAGAAUAGGAGGAUGCCAUAAAACCUCUAUGUUAUUUUUUCAAUACAAAUAAGAUAUGUAACAAAUAAAUAUAAAUAAAUUUAAAUAUUAAAAAAAUGUAACAAACAAGAUAUAUAAAUAUAUAUAUAUAUAUAUAUAUAUAUAUAUAUAUAUAUUCAAUUUAACGGCAAGGAUAAAAAACUAUCACAUGUAUUUGCAUCUACCCUAUAAGUAUACCCUCUCAUCACUUUGCCAAUUCAUUCAUUAACAUUCUUUUGCGUUUUCAUUGAAUUAAAUUGCAACAUAAAUUUACGGCUGAAUUAUAUCAUUGAUUAACCUAAGAACGUGAAGAAAUUUUUUCAUCAAAGAAUCCUGAUCAACCUGCAGUCAUGCCUAGCAUUAUUAGCACUAAAAACUCCAUCAACCCUUGAUUGCUUAGAAGUACUCAAAUCACUGGGACCCAUAGGAAACUCACCACCAACAGAAACCCUAUUAGCAGUACACAAAAGGAAGAACUUAGAAGAGAAGAAAGCUAGAGAUUGGGAGCUAUAAGAGGAGACUGAAGCCAUGGCUAGAGAUUUUUUUAUUAAGAUUUGAAGUCAGGGGGAUAGUCCUAUACUACCUCAUAAGCUAUAAUUUUAUUUUUUUUACUUAUGGGUCACAAUUGUUAUGAAGGGUUUAUGAUUUUGAUGAAUUUCGAUGUUAAUUUUCGCGCUCAUAAUUAUAUGAUAAAUUUAGGUAUGUGAAAUUUGUUAUAAACUUGUUGUUGGUGCUUAAACUUCAUAGUUGUUAUGUGUUAAAAUGAUUACUCUAAGGUUUUAGCUUAAAUGAUGAAAAAUGAUGUUGUUGUUGUUGAUUGUUGGUGAAUUCAUGAUUAUAUGUCAUGAAUGUUGUUAGGUAUAUGUUGGUGAUGGUAAUUCAUGCAUUGGGUGUUGAUAAAGUUGUUGUGUGGUUGAGUUGUUGUGAGAUAUGUAAACAUGAUUUUAUAGUAUAAUAUGAUAGGUUUAAGUGAUUGGGAUGCAUAAGCGAAAACAUAAUCGAAAACAGAUUUAAAAUCGGAAUUUUAAGCGUGAAAUGGCAAAAAACGAAAAUCGGAACUUCUGUACUGUCAAACUGGCACGACCGUGCGCCCUAUAGGCACGAGCCAUGUGUGUGGUUCGUUGAUGGCCAGCACGACCGUACAACCUGUAGACGCAAUUGUGUGGUAUGUGCAGGUGCCCGAAAACCUAAUUUUUCACAUUUUUCUAAACUUUUAAGCAUCGGUAUGAGUUCCAAACACCUAAACCUACUUAAUUAAAGUGAAAUUGAAUUUGUGUGAGUAGUUUAACUUGGCUUUGCUUUGAAAAAGGAUUGGUUUUGAAACAUGGUGAAACAUAGACGAGUUCGACAAAUUUUGAGAAAUUAAUGUGAAGUAGAUAAAAUAGUCAUAAGGGAGGGAGGAUUGAAUUGUGACCCUUUAAAAAUUAACCUGUAACUCAAAUCAUCAAGUUGUUUACUUGGAAUAGUUUAAGUUAGUAGUUUGACUUCAGAACGUUCUAAAAUUCUUAUGCAAAAACUACUUAAUAAAAUAAAGGCUUAAUAGCAGUUUUCGCCACCUAACUUUCACGAAGUUGUGAUUUUGGCCGCCUAAGAAAAAAACUACAAAACCGCCCCAUAAGUUUUGCAAUUGUGGCAGUUUUGGCCCCCAGGGCCAACCUGCAAGAAUUUAAAAUAAAUAAAAAAAUAACACGCAACACCUCCCUUAGGGUGCCACAUCAGCGUAGAUCGAGUUAAAAUUGGCUUUGGAUGCCAAAACUGCCACAUGUGCAAAACUUAGCGGACGGUUUUGUAGUUUUUUUAAGGGGUCGAAAUCGCAACUUUGGAAAAGUUAGGGGAUAAAACUGCUAUUAAGCCUAAAAUAAAUAUGUUGGUGUGUGUAGCGUAUACUAAAAUUAAAGAGUGUAGAAAAGAGAGAAGGAACACACAAAUAUUUAUAGUGGUUCACCCAAUGUGGGCUAGUCCACUCCUCACAAUCUUUUGAGAGUUUCCACUAUGAUGCUUGAGAUAACCUCUCAAAUCCUGCACCUUACAAUCUUUGUUCACUUGAACAAUUACAACACCUGAAUUCUCUAAGCAUCAGCAGGCUUGCACCUUCUUGCUAAGAUACCCACUUAGACUUUUACAAUCUUUGCUCAAACUAACACUUUAGUACCACUAAAGUUAGAUGAGAUUUUGAUUACAAUUUUUAUGGAGUCUGAAUGAUUGAAAUCAGACAAGAAGAGAAUGGAGGGAGAAAUUAUCUUUAACAAAAUAAGAGAGAAUUGAUUUACACUUUAAGAGACAAUUUGAAAUCUCAGUGAUGAUCAAUUUAAAUGCUAAAGCUUCAAACACUUUUCAGAUGUUUUUCUUGUAUGCUUUGCAAUGGUGCAAGUAAUGUUGAGCCUUUCACUUAUAUUAUAUUUAUAGAGUUCUUGGGCUCUUGUAGCCGUUGAAGGGUGACCAAUGGUCUUGUUCCAUGUGUCAUGGGCCCCACUGACUUUUACUUGAAAUUCUGGGUAAACAUUCUGAACUUCAGAAUGUUGUUGUGUUGUUGAGAAUACAUCAGAAUGUUGUUGCGUUCUUGAUGAUCUUCAUCUGGGUUCAUCAUGAUAUUCAUCAGGGUUCAUCAUAAUAUUCAUCUGGGUUCAUCAUGUAUGAAUGAAAACAUGAGUUUAUGGGCUCAUCAUAUGUGUUUCAUAUGAUUUUCUGGGCAUUAUCCAUAAGCAGUGGCUUUUCCAUAAACAUUAGAAUGUUGCUUUCCCAGAUUUGUCUUGGAAAUAGUGCAGGAGAGAUAAAGCGGAUUCUGCAUCUUCAUGCCCUUGCUUUGAGGGAUUGUGUGGUCCAUGUACAAUACCAAAUCCCAUACAUGUCUAACUCUGAUUGAGUGAGACAAGAUAUCAUUUUUGCUUUUCACCUACUGUACUGUUCAUAAAGCAUGUGUUGAGCUGAACAUUCCGAUCUUCAGAAUGUUCCUUUUGUUUUCACUUGGGAUGAUUUGUAAGACUACCAUUUGAUGUAAUCGAAUCCUUAUAGUGAAACAACAAUGAAGAGCAGUGAUUGUAACAUCUAGGAUGAUAUUCUCCUUGGAAUAUUUAUAGUACUUCAAUGUUCAUAGUCUUAAAUGAACAUUGAGUAUCAUUUUUGACAUAAAUCUUGUAUAUGCCUUUAUUUCUUGAUUGAUCCAUGCAAAUGUACUUUCUUGGACAUUUAUUAAUUUCACGUGUGCCUUGCAUGAUCUUGAUCAAUGUUCUUGAGUUUCUGGGCUUAUAUAAGAAUAGCCUUCUGAACUCUGCUUGAACAUUCUUAUCUCUUAGCAACAUUCUGAACUAACUUCCUGAACUCAGAGAUAGUUCAUGAAUUCAAAUAUCCUUUGAUUUCUUGUAUCUUGGAAUGAUUUAAUCUUUGUUCCUUUCUUAGUUAAACACUCAAGAGCACAAGUUAAAUACCGAGACAUUAAUCAUAGUUCAUUAAUUCUUUAAGCAUAAAGGUUCAUUAUCUUCAAAAUUAAUUAGGGAUUUUGCCUCAACAAAAUGAACCUUGUGAAAGCAAGAUACUAUGAUUGAUUACCCUAGAUGUUAGAUGAUAUGUGUAACGCCCUAGUCGUUAUUUAUUUAAUUAUGAUUUAUUUAGAGUCUUUUUAUGAUUUUAAAUAAUUAUUGUUGAUUAUGUGGUGUGUUAUAUUUUAUUAUAUGGUUUAUUUUGAUAUUAAUUAGAAUAAGUAAGAAUUAUUAUUAUUUUGGAGUUUGGGGAUUAAAUUAGAAUUAAUAGAAUUAAGGGGGAGUUAAAUGAAAUAAAGGAGAGUUAAGAAUAGGAGUUAGGAAAAAAGAGAAGUCAGAAACUGUUUUACGUACAACAGAGUUUUGGGAGAAAAACCAAGAACAAGGGAGAAGAGCCAAGAGAACCAGAAUUUGUAGAGAUUGUUCAUCUGAUUUAAGGUAAGGGUGAGGUUUACUUUCAAUAGUGUAGAUUAUAAUUCUGAUUUUGGUUUAACAUAGUUCUGGUUAAAAUUGGGAAUUUGGGUUUAGAUUAUGAUUCUUUGAUUUUGGAUGGAAAAGAGUGUUGAAACCAUUGUUUUAGUGUUAGGAAUGUGUUCAGAUUGCAUACAACAUGUUAUUACACUUAUGUAAACUGUUUUGGGGAGUGAAUUGAGAAAAUUGAAAUUUUUGGGGAAAAACAUGCAUUCUGCCCGUACAGACAUUCAUCGCUCGCCCCGCGAGUAGCCUGUCUCGCCUCGCGAGUGAGCAAUCUUCACGGCUCGCCUCGCGAGCAGAACCACUCGCCAUGGCGAGUUAGUGAGGGAGAACCUUGAUUUUUAAAUUGUUGUUAUAAGGUAUAAGUUGGUUAGUUUUGAGUGCCUGCAUGUUUCUACAGAGGACUAGGACAAUUUUCAGAUUAAAAAGAUGAAUAGGGAGCUUAAAAAUGAAGUUUUAGUGAGAAAAAUGUCAAAACUCCCGAGAGCACCAUUUUUCUCGUUCGCCUCGUACUCGCCACGGCGAGUAACAUUUUUCCUGAGUUCGCCAUCGCGAGUGUAACAGCCCGAUUUUUAGCUAGAUUUAUUUUAAUUACUUUUAUUAUGUGUUUGUGUGUGAUUAUUUGUGCUUGUGUGUAUUUAAUUGUCAUUGGGUGCAUUUACAUGGAUUACCGUAUUAGAAGGGUAUUUUGGUCAUUUGGCGGGUAAGGGUAAAAUGGUAAUUUUGGUGAGAAUUAUUUUAAUAUUUAGUGAGAACCCUUAUUUUACUAAGUUACUAGUGUAGUGAUUAUAUUUUACCGUUAGUGACCAUUCGUUAUAUUUUACCGUUGUUAGUAAUUACCGUUGAGUGUAUAGAAACUUUUUAGAGUUAAGUUAGAAUGGGUUAGGCCCAUUAGAAUUUAGAAUUGAGCCCAUUAAGGGAGAUAACAUUAGGGUUGUCAUAGAAAAAUAUCUUUCAUUCAGUUCACUAAAAUUUUCCUAGAGAGAGAGGUAGAGAGAGAAAGAGGUGAAGAGAAGAACAAGGGUUUUGAAGAGAAUAGCUUGAGGAAUCAAUUGGGGUAAGAUUAGGAGCUGAAUUGAAGCAAGAGUUUGAGUUAUCUUCUUCUAAGGUAAGGGGGUUAGUUAUCAUCGUAAUCAUGUUCAUUUUUUGCAUUUUCUCAUGUUGUAUGAAAAUGGGUUGAUGAACAAUUGUUGUUAAAUUCGUGCUCUUGUUGUAAUGCUAUUUUCUUGUGCAUGAAUUGAUGAUUAUGGUAUGUUUUUGGGUGAAAUUACAUGUUUCAAAGUAUGUAUAAAUGUUAAGUUAUGAAAUUAUACUUAAUUGAUGAAAUUUGAUAUGUUUUGAUUGAAAUGAGAUGUAAAUCAUAUGUAAUUGAUGUUGUUGUUGCUGAGAUAUGUUGUUGAUUAUGACUUAUGGCUUGGGUGUUCAGAUACCAUAAUUGUUGAUGAGAAAUAAGAUGUUGUUGGUGGUUUUGUGAAAUUGGUGAAGUUGAGUUAAGUGUUCAUGUGAAGGACCAAAUUGAACUUUGAUAUUUAUGGUUGUUGACUGAAAUUUUGUUAUUGUUGGAUGAAUUGAACCUAGGAGAAUUUCUGUUUCCAUGUUGUGGUUAUGUCAGUUGAGUUGUUUGGGAGAAAACGGGUUUUUCGUGUGAAAUGUCGAUGUUUAAGCGUUUUCGUCAAUAAGUGAUUAUGUGAGGUUUUGGAAAAUGACUUUUGGGAUGGUUGAAACAUGAAAUUUUUGUAGAUUAUAAUAGUGCCAAGUGUUAGGAGCAUGUAGGCGAAAACGGCAUCGAAAACGGAUUAACGGUUUGAUUUUUAUGCGCGAAAACGUAGAAGUUGAAUUUUGCAUAGUCUGCUACUGUCAAAAUCAUGAAGCGAUCUUACAAAUCGUGAGGUGAUUUUGACAGAAACAACAAAUUUUCUGCAUAGCCUGAUGUUGUCGAAUCAUGAAGCGAUUUCGCAAAUCAUGAGGCGAUUUUGACAGCAACAUCAAAUUUUUCUACUCAGUCUGAUGCUGUCAAAAUCAUGAAGCGAUCUUACGAGUCAUGAAGCGAUUUUGGCAGCCUAGAAACCUUAAAAAUGCAAUUUUCUUUGAUCCAAUUACUUCCAAACUUCUUCCUAAGUGUAGGGACUUUAUCCUAAUCAUCUAGGGAUGUUUUUAUGAAAGAAAUAGCUUUGUAUUAAGGGCUUAGUGAGUCCUUGUGUUUUCUUGACUUUAAUGACACAUUAUAAUAUGAAUCUUUGCAAAACUUGAAUUUAAGUGAGUUGGCCUAUGAAACGUUGAUGUAUACACUACUGCUCUCAUAUGUGAUUUGUGUAUAUACAUGGUUGAGGUCCUAGAGUUUAUUUAUUUGGUUUUAGUUCAUUUGUUCUAAUCAUGUAAAAGGUGAUAUUUCGGGUGGGAAUGUGAAAAGUUGUGAAAUGGAGUUUUUCAUACGAACUUAAGUUGUUCUUGGAUUAAUGUUUAAUGAUCCGGAGGUAACUUAAACUCAUGACUACAUGAUUGAUUAAGAUUGUUUGACAGCUUUGAACUUGUCUAAGUUGCUUUGUCUUGGGAAUUAUCAAUGUUGGCCGUUUGCCACUUGAUACGGUUUUUAGUCGGAAAUAUUUUUUUGAACCAAUUGUCUUAAGAAUUGUGGUGGCUAUGUUUAUAUAACUAAGUGAAGUUGUAUGAAUGAAUGAUUGUUUUGGAUAUGAUGUUUAUCAUGAGAUGUGCAUGCUAUCUUACUUAGAAUGUAAGGAAUGCUUGAAUGGUGAAACUAUAUGUGAUAGUUGAUGUUGAAUGGUUAUAAGUUGAAUAUGAUAUUAACAUGAGGUGUUGUAUGUUCUCUUACUUGGUAUAUGAGAAAUAUUGUAAUGAUGUGAUGAUAUUGAUGAAUCCAUAUACAUUGUUUAUUAUGAUAUGGUGGGUGAAUAUAUAUAUAUGAUGUUGUGAAUUGUUGGUGAGUUCAUAUAUGUCGAGAAAUGAUGAAUUGGUGUGAAUGCAUUUAUGCAAGUAAUAUUGAUGAGAAUAUGGUGAGUUGUUUGUAUGAACAUAUGUAUCGUUGUUGAGAUAUAUGUUUAUUUAUACAUAACUGAUGGUGACGGAUUUUACAUCCAAUGUGGUGAGUUGUUUGUGUGAACAUAUGCAUUGUUGUUGAGUCAUAUGUUCAUGCAUACAUGACUGAUGGAGACGGAUAUUUUUAUAUAUCCAAAUGGUGAGAUUAUGAUGUUCUGUCGGCAUCAUGGGCGACGACCUAAAUAUUGGUGAGACCGGUACCGCAUGCAUCUAGAAGAGUCUAGAACAUUGCAUGCAUUUGAUUGGUUGAUGAAGUAUGUCAUAAUUGAAUAUGUGACUUGAUGAAAUGUGAUUGGUGAUUGUUCAUGAUGUAUAUGAUUGGUGAUUGUGUAUGAAUAACUGUGAAUUGAUAUUUGUCAUGACACAUGUGAUUGGUUAUUAUUGAUGUGAGAUAUUGGGGUUUGAUGUAAGUAUUGAUUUGAGAAUAUUAUUAUUAAUCAAGUGCAUGAUGUUUAUAUUGAAAUAAUCAUGUUAACUGUUAUUUGGAUUAUGUUGAUGUAAUACUUACCCCCAGUGGAUCUGUUAUGGACCGCCUGCCUAUCUGUAUGGAUGGGUAGACGUUGUGCAGGUGUAGUAGCUUGGUGAGUUCUUGCUGUUGGUGGAUAGUGGGAGCUUUCUCCGCUAUCGGGUCUUAGAGUAGAGUUGGCUCUGAUCUAGGGUUUUGUUGUUAGCUCUAGAUCUUGUUGGAUUAUUUUUAUGCUUUGAGAUUUUGUCCAUGUGUCGGACUUGGAGAUUUUAUACUUAUGUAUUUUGAGAUCACUGGACAUGUAUGUUUGAUGUAUGAGAUUUGUAUCCGCUGCGACUGAUGAGGUUUUAUAUACAUGCAUGUUGACCGUUGAUUUGUUUUUGAUUUACUUUGUUUUGGUGAAAGUAGCGACUAUCUCUUGAAUAUAUGAAUUAUUCGCAUGUUUAAUUGCUUUAUUAGAAGUAGGGCGUUACAGCGAGCAGAUGUGCUCGCGAGGCGAGUUGCCCAGUACCUGAAGCCAUUUGUUAUGUUUUGAAUAGAAAUGAAUGAACUUGAUGUAGACGUUUGAUUAUAGUUAAUUGUAUUACUUUCUGGAGCUAUUGAAUUAUUUAUGAUGAUUGGUUGAUGACUGUGAUGUAUGUUUAUAUCUAAUUGAAACAUACAUGUUGUUGAUUUGUUGGGUUGUAAGUCAUAUAUAUAUAUAUAUAUAUAUAUAUAUAGGGUGUUUCAAAUGAGAUGACUUUUUAAAUGAGAGGGUGAGAGGAUGAAACAUGAGCCUUUAGAUUAAAUACACGGUUUAGAUUAGAUUUUAAUUUUGACAAAAAAUCACGUGACUCUCUCUUUCAUUUUCUCUCCCACAUUAACUAUGACUCUCACUCUUCCAUCUCUUCUUCUGGUGAAACGAGCUCCCCCUCUCAAUUUCCUACCUCACCUUCUCUUCUUGUUGCAACAAACAGAAAUCAGUGAAAAUUUGUUCACAGUUGCCGUAACUUUCUUGUUCUUAAAUCUUAAUUUUAUUUUCCCGGUCAUCUCUUCAACUCUGCUCCUAGAUUCGCUUAAAUCUCUAUAAUUCUACACAUUACUUCUCAUCGCACAAAUCUACCUCACCAUCUCCUUCUCUUCUCGCCGCCAUGAACACAACUGGUAAAGACGAAAAAGUUGUUUGCCAUCGUCGAUUUUUGAAAAAUCCCCGACUGAUGGGUUGAAGGAAUUGAUAGGUUAGAAGACCUAAUGUUUAAGGAAUUGAUGACCUAAUGUUUUUGUAAUUAAACUUUGCAGUGUUGAUUUAAAUUAACGUUGCUACUGUCUAUUAAAGAUUACUGCCAGUGCUUAGUUCAGAUCAAGAAGUUUGAUUGAAAUUGUAUAAGAUUAUUGCUAGCUGCAUAAUUUGAUAUCCGAACAUUUGAAAUCCUGGAAAUUUAACUAAUAAAACUAAAUAGGCCUCUUAAAAGGACAAUUGAAAUUGCUACUGCAUAAUCAGAUUGUUUCCAAAUUAAAUCAUCUUCAGAUGGGACUUUGGGAAUGUUCACAUUAGCUAGUUCAAUUGUAAAAACUGGACAGUUAUACAUCAGAGCCACAUUAGCUAGCUUAAAUCAAUAUCAGUACUGAUGGUGUAAUUAUAUGGAUAUUUUAUAAGGCUUUUAUAGUUUUGUAUCAGUACUAGUAUAACAGUAACAAAUUUUGCAUUAUUAAUAUGUUAAAAGUCUUUCAUAGUUAAGUAAUUUAAAUUGCCUUUUAUAAGGCUUUUGUAUCAGUAACAUAUUUUGGUUAAUAUUCAUGUUAUAAGGCUUUUAUAAGUCUUUCACAAUCAAGUCAAGAUUUGUUACCAUUCCUACCUACACUUCCAACAACCAAUUAAUUACCCAUCAUACUCUUUGUAACCUGUUAAAUUUUUUUCCCAAAAUAACUCUUCAUGAUCACCCUCCAAUUUUAAAGACUUCAUAAUCAGAUUGUUAAAAUAAAAUUCAAAAUUUGAUUAAGAAGAACACCACAAAAUUUUGAUCUUUCAGAUGCAAACAAAAAUUUGAGGUUGUUAUUAUAAAAUUCGAAGGAUGGGUAUUUCUGGAACCCUAAUUUGCAAUGGUACCAGAGCAAACAAAAGGAAACGAAUAACAUAGAAGACGGUUGGGGGUCUUUUGCAGAAAACACGAAUUAAAAGAAAAAGAUAUGUACUCUAAAUAUGCGAGAUAUAUAAGAUAUAUUCCUUGGACUCUUCACGUUUUCUUACCUUGUUCUAGCUGUUAAGCUUCGUUUCCCCUAGAAGAGAAGAUGGAAGAGUGAGAGUCAUAGUUAAAGUGGAAGAGAGAAUGAAAAGAGAGUCACGUGAUUUCUGUUAAAUUAAAAUCUAAUCUAAACCGUGUAUUUAAUCUAAAGGAUCAUGUUUCAUCCUCUCACCCUCUCAUUUAAAAAGUCAUCUCAUUUGAAACAUCCUAUAUAUAUAUAUAUAUAUAUAUAUGCAUUGUUGAGUUGUAUGUAGAUAUACACAAGUUGAGUCCAUUGCAUAAACAUGAAGCGGUGAGAGAUCAUGCCCUGGAACACCUUGUCGUUCAAAGCGGGAGGGCUCACGCCCUGGAACACCUUGUUGUUCAAAUUGGUGAGGGCUUAUGCCAUAUGAAUACUUUAAGCAUUCAAAUUCGGUGAGGGCCUCUGCCCUGUAAAAUGGUACCACAUGCAUAGUCGCAUUUGUUGAGGAGUCUUAGUGGUGUUGUCAUGUUAUUGCAUGAGUCGUUGUUGAUGAUUGAGUAGUACUUUCAUGCUAUUGAUUGAAGUUGAAUAUGUUGACAAUGAUGUGAUCAUGAAAUAUAAAUAUAUAUAUAUAUAUAUAUAUAUAUAUAUAUAUAUAUUGAAAUGUUGAUGAUAUUUAGGGUGUUAGAUUCAAUUGAUGAAUUAUAUAUCUAUUAUUAUUGUUUGUGAAUCUCACCCCUUCUGCUUGGAAAUGUUGCCCUUUCUAUGGGUAACUUGCAGGUAUCCAGAGUAGUAGAUGGUGGCUCAAGUGUCUAAGGCUCUGAUACGUAACGGGAUGAGAAAUAGUUGUUUAAUUUUCAUUCCUUAUGUAUCAUAUUUUGGAACAUGUUGUGGAGCCCUCAUUUAGUUGUUUGAAAUAACCUUUGAUGAAUAAUCUAUUGAGGCUUUUAUACCAGGAUUGUUAUUUGGAGAAUUAAACGUUUGAUGUUGAUGUUAUUUAUUAUUGAAAAAAAAAAUAUUCCGCUGCAAGGUUUUGGUGAAACUAAUAAAGUUGAUGUUUAUUAAAUAGUAUUUUAUUCUAUUUAAGAAUUUUGAAAUAGCAGUGUAGCAUGCCCGUUUUGGUGACAAACUCUUAUUUAUUAUUAUAUUUAUAUUAUUGGGUUAACGGGGUGUUACAAUUGGUAUCAAAGCCUGGUUGGUCCGUCCGGCCAAGUAGUAGAGUCGUGCUGAGCCACAUAGGAUAGAGUGUCAACUUUAAGUUGUCUUUUGUUGUUCUGAUUGUUGUUUCUUAUGUUGAAUUUUGAGAUGGCUGGGAGAAACGAUGCUGCUAUUGCUGCUGCACUUGAGGCUGUUGCUCAAGCUGUAGGAUAGCAACCGAACGCCGCUGCUGGUAACGAUGGUGUGAGGAUGUUGGAGACCUUUUUGAGGAACCAUCCACCAACAUUUAAAGGGAGGUAUGACCCUGAUGGAGCUUGUAACACCCCGUAUUCUAACUUAAAAAUUUCACAUAUAAAUCAGAGUAUUUCAACAUAAACGGAAUGUCACACUUCUUUUCUUAAAAUCAUAAACGGAAUAAAAUAACUAUUUAUCCUUCAAAAUUCAACGUCAUAAUAUUUAUUACUUCGCAGCGAAAAUUAUUCAACUUUUAAACAACUUUGGCACAAGGGCCUCAACAUAAAAUCUCUUAAAAUUCUUCCAACAACAUGUUCAUGAUAAUUCAUAAAAUAAUACGUAAGGAAUAGAAAGCAACAACAAAAUCCCAUCCCAUUACGUAUCAGAGCACCUAAGACACACGAGAGAGAAAUCUCACACGACAUCAACUAUUCUUGGUUACCUGCAAUUUACCCAUGGUGGGCUACAUUUCCAAGCAGAAGGGGUGAGAUUUCACAUUCAAUAAUAAUAAGCAUAUAAUUCAUCAAAAGCAUUUAACAACUUAAACAUCAUCAAUUAAUAAUAAUAAUUCUUCAUAUAGUACUUCCUUAAUAGCUUAAUCAAAUUCUAGUCAUCAUUAAAAUCAUAUUCAUCACAUCAUAUACAUUCAUCAUAUAACAACAUAAACAACACAACAUAAAGAUCAUCUUAUAACAACAUAAACAACACAUCAUAAAGAUCAUCUUAUAACAACAUAAGAUCACAUCAUAAAAAUCAUCUCAUAACAACAUAAUCAUCACUUCAUAAAAUCUUCGCUUAACAAUAUCAUAAUCAAUAUCAUAAACAACAUCAUAACAACAUCAUAAUCAACAUCAUAUAGCAUCAUAACAACAUAACAACAUCAUAAUCAACAUCAUAUAGCAUCAUAAUAACUUCAUAUAAUCAACAUCGUAAACAACAUCAUAACAUUAUAAUCAAUAUCAUAAACAACAUUAUAACAACAUAACAACAUCAUAAUCAACAUCAUAUAGCUUCAAAACAUCAUAUAAUCUUCAUAAGCACUUCAUUAACAACACAUGGGUAGAAGACAACUCAACAACUUAACAACUCAUGGAUGACAAUUCGUCAACAACUUAACAACUCAUGGAUGACAAUUCCUCAACAACUUAACAACUCAUGGAUGACAACUCAUCAACAACGACUUUGACUCGGCAAUGCAACUUCGACUUGACUAUGCAACUUAGACCUCUUAUAUGCAUGUGGUACCAAUACAGGGCAUCAAGCCCCCAUCGAUAAUUGAGUAUUAAUAUACUUCCAGGGCAUCAAGCCCCCAUCGCAAUUUGAGCUAAAGCUCCAUCGUGUUGAGUACAAAGCUCCAGGGCAUCAUGCCCCCCAACAAAUGAAAUGCUAAUGUAUGGACUCGACCUCUUAAACAUCUUAAAUCGACAACCUCUUAUAUAAUCCAAUAAUUUGGAACAUCAUCAUCUUCAUCAACUUAGACAACAUCAACAACUUAAGACUCCAAUACUUUGGAAUACUUUGGAAUGACAACUUACAACUUUACAACUUAGACCAACACCUGCAACUUGAUCAAUAUUCAACAGCAACAGAAACAUUACAAGCAAUUCACAACAUAACAAUAUUAAUGAGAAGCAUCAACAACUCAAACAUCAUACAUUUUCCACAUAAGGCAUAUAAAUAUUUCACAUAACCAACAACAGCAACAUAGGCAGCACGUAAACAUCUCAAGAUAUAACAAUAUCAAAUGAUAAUCAACAACAACUUAAACAUCUUAUAUAAUUCACAUAAUGCAUAUACAAAUAUAUUACAUUACCAUCAAUAUCAAAUCAUAUUCAUCAACAUAUACAUUCAUAUAAUAAAUCAUCAAUCAUGAACAACAUUAUUUCUAUAUCAUACAAUAUUCACAUAAUAUAUGUAUCUCAAAUUAUUCAACAAAGAUAUUCACGUCCAACCAAAUUAGAUCCAUCACAACAAAUGUUAAAUACUCUUAAACCCCUUAAUUAAACUCCUAGUACUUCUAGUUUUGAGGUUUGGAAUUAUUCCAUAAGUUUUGGAUUAACUUUGAAACGGUUAUGCUGAAUUUUCAUAAAAUUUCACUAAGACCUACUUGGAGUCCUUUCAUCAUAUCUCAAGAACCAAAGUUCAUUUUCAUGUCAAAGCAAAGCCACUGGAAAGCUAACUCAAUUAUCUACAACUUUAAUGUUUACACCAAAGGCUAAUUCAAAACAGAAACGUGUGUAAAAGACGCAAGAACAUGAAACAGGACAUGCUGUCAGAGAGCAACUCGGGAAAAACCCAUUUUUCACCCCAAAAUUCCAAUUUUAACUUCUCUAUGCCAAAAUUUGAUCCAAAAACUUGUCUAACCAUUUCUAUACAUGUUAAGGCACUCAAAAUCACAUAAAAGAUGACCCAAAAUAUUAUUUUACAAAAAUCACAUUUUUCAUAAAAGUUCUUAAGAACAACAAAAGUUCACUUCAAGCUCUAUGGUUAAGAUUACCCAAGGUUUCAAUUAUAUAAUCAACAAUUUAUCACUUUUAACCCUAAUUCCCAAAUUCUCAAAACUAAACUACAACAUGUUAAAUACAAUUUUCAGAAUUAAAACACUUAGAAUUAUUGAAGGCUAGUCCCACCCUUACCUUGGAUUGAUCGACGAAGGACUCUACCGCUUUCUCUUCUCUAAAAGGACAUUAAACAGAAGAGGAAUUAUGGUCUUAAGAACACUCUUAAUUCCGAAGGGACAGAAGGGAGUAGAAAAAGAAGAAAGACUCGUCAACACAAGUCAAAAGAGGGAGAAGAGAAGAAAAGCACAGGAAGCAUCAACUGUGAAUUUCAAAGUGUAGAAUGCACUGUGUGAGUUCUCUAUUUAUAGAGAUAGUUUACAACUAAUAAGUGAGAAACUUUGGAAACAAGUAAUGCAUCUAGUACUUAAAUAUCUCAAUUGAGUACCAAAAUAUAUUAUAUUAAGUACAAAAAUAUAUUAUUCAGUACAGAAAUAUAUUAUUGAGUAUCAAAAUAUAUUUCAAAGCAUGCACUAAAAUAUAUUAGAUUGCCUACCAAAAUAUUUCAGAUUGUGUUGCAAAACAUUCUAGCUCUCCCCUUUUAUAAAAAUCCUUUACCUACUUAUUUUUGUCUUAUAUCCAAAUCUGCCCCCCAAAAUCUCAAUAUUCUAUUCUAAUAUAUAUAUAUAUAUAUAUAUAUAUAUAUAUAUAUAUAUAUAUAUAUAUAUAUAUAUAUAUAUAUAUAAUAUUUCUAUAAAAAAUAACAAUUAUAUCUCUAUAACAAAUAUAUUUCUAUAAUAUAUAUAUUUCUACAUCAAAUAAGAAAUAUAUUUCUACACCAAAUAACAUAUAUUUCUAAAACAAAUAACAUAUAUUUCUACAACAAAUAACAUAAUAUUUCUUCACCAAAUAACAUAUAUUUCUACAACAAAUAACAUAAUAUUUCUUCACCACAUAACAUAAUAUUUCUACAACAAAUAACAUAAUAUUUCUUCACCAAAUAACAUAUAUUUCUACAACAAAUAAUAUAAUAUUUUCUACAUAUAUUUUCAUUUAUUCCACUAAACUCUUCUAGUUUCCAAAACAGCCCCCACAACUUAAUCUUAUUUUCUUUUCAAAUCUUAUUCUAUUAAAUAAUAAAAUAAGCCUCUUAAUAAAUUAACAACACCUCACAAAAAUCAUAUAAAUGACAUAAGUCAUAAAAAUAGACUCUAAACUCAAUAAAAUAAUUAAAUAUUAAAAUAGGGCAUUACAGAGCUCAGAAGUGGCUCAAAGAGGUUGAGAGGAUUUUCAGAGUCAUGCAAUGCAGUGAGGUGCAGAAGGUGCGGUUUGGUACGCACAUGUUAGCUGAAUAGGCAGAUGAUUGGUGGGUAAGUCUUUUACCCGUGCUUGAACAGGAUGGUGCUGUCAUGACCUGGGCUGUGUUCAGGAGAGAAUUUCUGAAUAGGUAUUUUCUGGAGGAUGUCCGAGGUAAGAAGGAGAUUGAGUUUCUGGAAUUGAAACAGGGGGACAUGUCUGUGACGGAGUAUGCUGCGAGGUUUGUGGAACUCGCUAAGUUCUAUCCUCACUAUACUGCGGAGACUGCUGAGUUCUCCAAAUGUAUAAAGUUUGAAAAUAGUUUGAGAGCUGAUAUCAAGAGGGCUAUUGGCUAUCAAAAGAUAAGGAAUUUCUCUGAGUUGGUGAGUAGCUGCAGGAUAUAUGAAGAGGAUACGAAAGCUCAUUACAAGGUGAUCAGUGAGCGCAAAGGUAAGGGACAGUAGAGUCGUCCGAAGCCGUAUAGUGCCCCUGCUGACAAGGGUAAGUAGAGACUGAAUGAUGAGAGGAGGCCUAAGGGGAGAUAUGCUCCUACUGAGAUUAUUUGCUUCAAGUGUGGUGAGAAAGGCCACAAGAGUAAUGUGCGUCAUCGAGAUGAGAAGAAGUACUUUAGGUGUAGUCAGAAAGGACACACAUUGGCUGAUUGCAAGCGUGGGGAUAUUGUUUGCUACAACUGUAAUGAGGAAGGACAUAUUAGUUCGCAGUUUAUGCAGCCUAAGAAGGUUAGGACAGGUGGCAAGGUAUUUGCGUUGACUGGUACGCAAACUAUGAAUGAGGACCGACUUAUCAGAGGUACUUAUUUCUUUAAUAGUACUCCUUUAAUUGCUAUUAUAGAUACUGGUGCUACUCAUUGUUUCAUUGUUGUUGAUUGAGCAUAUAAGUUGGGUCUGGUUGUAUCUGAUAUGAAUGGAGAAAUGGUUGUUGAAACUCCAGCUAAGGGUUUAGUAACUACUUCUCUUGUUUGUUUGAGUUGUCCAUUGUCUAUGUUUGGUAGAGAAUUGAAGUCGAUCUAGUAUGUCUGCCGUUGUCGGGUAUGGAUGUGAUUUUUGGGAUGAACUGGUUAGAGUAUAACCGUAUUCAUAUUAAUUGCUUUAGUAAGACGGUGCAUUUUUCUUCUGCUGAGGAAGAGAGCGAAGCUGAGUUCUUGACUACAAAACAGUUGAAGCAGUUAGAACGUGAUGAAAUUCUAAUGUUUUCUUUGAUGGCGUACUUGUCAUUGGAGAAUCAAGCUGUGAUUGAUAGAUUGCCGGUUGUGAGUGAAUUUCCAGAAGUUUUUCCUGAUGAGAUUCCAGAUGUGCCACCAGAGAGGGAGGUUGAAUUUUCAAUCGAUCUUGUGCCUGGAACGAAGCCGGUGUCGAUGGCACCUUACCGUAUGUCGGCGUCCGAGUUAGCUGAAUUGAAGAAACAGUUGGAGGACUUGCUUGAUAAGAAAUUUGUAAGACCAAGUGUUUCACCGUGGGGAGCGCCGGUGUUGUUGGUUAAGAAGAAGGAUGGUAGCAUGAGGUUGUGUAUAGAUUACUGUCAGCUGAAUAAAGUGACGAUAAAGAAUAGGUAUCCACUUCCGAGGUUUGAUGAUUUAAUGGAUCAGUUAGUGGGUGCUCGUGUGUUCAGCAAGAUUGAUUUGAGGUCAGGUUACCAUCAUAUUAAGGUGAAGGAUGAGGAUAUGCAGAAGAUGGCCUUUAGGACACAAUAUGGUCAUUAUGAAUAUAAGGUGAUGCCUUUCGGUGUUACUAAUGCGCCUGGUGUGUUUAUGGAGUAUAUGAAUAGAAUUUUCCAUGCUUAUCUGGAUAAAUUUGUGGUUGUGUUUAUUGAUGACAUCUUAAUUUAUUCUAGACUGAAGAAGAGCAUGCAGAGCAUCUGAAGAUUAUGUUGCAAGUGUUGAAAGAAAAGAAGUUGUAUGCCAAGUUGUCAAAAUGUGAAUUUUGGUUAAGUGAAGUAAGUUUUCUUGGCCAUAUUAUUUCUAGUAGUGGUAUUGCAGUUGAUCCAUCAAAAGUUGAUGCAGUAUCACAAUGGGAGACUCCGAAAUCAGUUACAGAGAUUAGAAGUUUCUUGGGUUUGGCUGGUUAUUACCGCAGGUUCAUAGAAGGAUUUUCGAAGUUAGCACUUCCAUUGACUCAGUUGACCUGUAAAGGGAAAUCUUUCCUGUGGGAUGCUCAGUGUGAGAAUAGUUUCAAUGAAUUGAAGCGAAGGUUGACUACUGCUCCAAUUUUAAUUUUACUGAAGCCAGAAGAACCUUUUGUUGUUUAUUGUGAUGCGUCCAAGUUGGGCUUAGAUGGUGUUUUGAUGCAAGAUGGCAAAGUGGUAGCGUAUGCUUCUAGGCAGUUGAGGAUUCAUGAAAAGAAUUAUCUUACACAUGAUUUGGAGUUGGCUGCGGUGGUUUUUGUUUUGAAAAUUUGGAGACAUUAUUUGUAUGGUUCCAGAUUUGAAGUGUUUAGUGAUCAUAAAAGUUUGUAAUAUCUGUUUGAUAAAAAAGAGUUGAAUAUGAGGCAGAGAAGAUGGCUUGAGUUGUUGAAGGACUAUGAUUUUGGGUUGAAUUACCAUCCGGGUAAAGCUAAUGUGGUUGCAGAUGCUUUGAGCAGGAAGACGUUACACAUGUCUACUAUAAUGGUAAAGGAGUUUGAGUUACUUGAACAGUUUAGAGACUUAAGUCUUGUUUGUGAGUUGUCACCUCAGAGUUUACAGUUGGGUAUGCUGAAGAUUAAUAGUGAUUUCUUGAGUAGUAUCAGAGAAGCACAACAAGUUGAUGUCAAGUUCGUUGAUUUAAUGGUUACUAGUAAUGAAACUGAAGAUAGUGACUUCAAGGUUGAUGAUCAGGGUGUGUUGAGGUUCAGAGGAAGAAUUUGCAUUCCUGAUAGUGAUGAUUUGAAAAAGUUGAUUUUAGAGGAAAGUCACAGAAAUAGCCUAAGUAUUCAUCCAGGAACUACAAAGAUGUAUCAUGACUUGAAGAAGUUGUUUUGGUGGUCUGGGUUGAAACGUGAUGUUGCUCAGUUUGUUUAUGCGUGUUUGACUUGUCAGAAGUCUAAGGUUGAGCAUCAGAAGCCUGCGUGGUUGUUGACACCGUUAGAUGUGCCAGAGUGGAAGUGGGACAACAUUUCCAUGAAUUUUGUGACGAGUUUAUCGAAUACUCCGAGAGGGCAUGAUGCCAUUUGCGUUGUUGUCGAUAGGUUAACGAAGUCGGCACACUUUAUUCCGAUCAAUAUUAGUUUUCCGGUAGCUCAGUUGGCGGAGAUUUAUAUUCAUAAUAUUGUGAAGUUGCAUGGUGUUCCAUCGAGUAUUGUGUCGGAUAGAAAUCCGAGGUUCACUUCUAGAUUUUGGAAGAGUUUGCAAGAUGCAUUGGGUUCAAAGUUAAGGUUGAGUUCGGCUUAUCAUCCGCAAACAGAUGGUCAGUCGGAGAGAACAAUUCAAUCGUUAGAGGAUUUGAUGAGAGUGUCUGUACUCGAGCAAGGUGGAGCUUGGGAUAGUCAUCUACUGUUGAUAGAGUUCACGUACAACAACAGUUACCAUUCGAGUAUUGGUAUGGCACCGUUCGAAGCUUUGUAUGGUCGGAGGUGCAGGACUCCUUUAUGUUGGUUUGAGUCAGGAGAAAGUGUAGUGUUGGGACCGUAUUUGGUUCAUCAGACUACGAAGAAUGUCAAGAUGAUAAGCGAAAAGAUGAAAGCGUCGCAGAGUCGACAGAAGAGUUACCAUGACAAGCGUAGGAAGGCGCUUGAGUUUCAAGAGGGAGAUCAUGUGUUUCUGAGAGUCACUCCUAUGACGGGUGUAGGACGUGCAUUGAAGUCUAAGAAGUUGACUCCAAAGUUUAUUGGUCCAUAUCAGAUAUCUGAAAGGGUUGGAACAGUGGCAUAUAGAGUGGGUUUGCCACCACAUCUUUCGAAUUUGCCUGAUGUGUUUCAUGUGUCGCAACUUUGGAAGUAUGUAGCGGAUCCUUCGCAUGUUAUUCCGAGAGAUGAUGUGCAGGUUAGAGACAACCUUACAGUUGAGACCUUACCUUUGAGAAUCGAAGACCGUGAGGUGAAGAAGUUAAGAGGCAAGGAUAUACCUCUAGUGAAGGUUGUUUGGGGAAGUGUAACCGGUGAAAGUUUGACUUGGGAGCUGGAGAGUAAGAUGCGGGAGUCUUAUCUCGAGUUGUUUGCUUGAGGUAAUAUUUCGAGGACGAAAUUCUCUAAGUUGGGGAGGGUUGUAACGCUCUAGUCGUUAUUUAUUUAAUUAUGAUUUAUUUAGAGUCUUUUUAUGAUUUUAAAUAAUUAUUGUUGAUUAUGUGGUGUGUUAUAUUUUAUUAUAUGGUUUAUUUUGACAUUAAUUAGAAUAAGUAAGAAUUAUUAUUAUUUUGGAGUUUGGGGAUUAAAUUAGAAUUAAUAGAAUUAAGGGGGAGUUAAAUGAAAUAAAGGGGAGUUAAGAAUAGGAGUAAGGAAAAAAGAGAAGUCAGAAAUUGUUUUACGUACAACAGAGUUUUGGGAGAAAAAUCAAGAACAAGGGAGAAGAGCCAAGAGAACCAGAAUUUGUAGAGAUUGUUCAUCUGAUUUAAGGUAAGGGUGAGGUUUACUUUCAAUAGUGUAGAUUAUAAUUCUGAUUUUAGUUUAACAUAGUUCUGGUUAAAAUUGGGAAUUUGGGUUUAGAUUAUGAUUCUUUGAUUUUGGAUGGAAAAGAGUGUUGAAACCAUUGUUUUAGUGUUAGGAAUGUGUUCAGAUUGCAUACAGCAUGUUAUUACACUUCUGUAAACUGUUUUGGGGAGUGAAUUGAGAACAUUGGGUUUUGGGGAAAAACCUGCAUCUGCCCGUACAAACAUUCAUCGCUCGCCCCGGCGAGUAGCCUGUCUCGCCUCGCGAGUGAGCAAUCUUCAUGGCUCGCCUCGCGAGCAGAACCACUCGCCAUGGUGAGUUAGUGAGUGAGAACCUUGAUUUUUAAAUUGUUGUUAUAAGGUAUAAGUUGGUUAGUUUUGAGUGCCUGGAUGUUUCUAGAGAGGACUGGGACAAUUUUCAGAUUAAAAAGAUGAAUAGGGAGCUUAAAAAUGAAGUAUUAGUGAGAAAAAUGUCAAAACUCCCGAGAGCACCCUUUUUCUCGUUCGCCUCAUACUCGUUACGGUGAGUAACCUUUUUUCGGAGUUCGCCAUAGCGAGCAUAUGUGCGCGCGUGGCAAGUUGCCCAGUACCUGAAGCCAUUUGUUAUGUUUUGAAUAGAAAUGAAUGAACUUGAUGUAGAAGUUUGAUUAUAGUUAAUUGUAUUACUUUCUGGAGCUAUUGAAUUACUUAUGAUGAUUGGUUGAUGACUGUGAUGUAUGUUUAUAUCUAAUUGAAACAUACAUGUUGUUGAUUUGUUGGGUUGUAAGUCAUAUAUAUAUAUAUAUGCAUUGUUGAGUUGUUUGUAGAUAUACACAAGUUAAGUCCAUUGCAUAAACAUGAAGCGGUGAGGACUUAUGCCCUGGAACGCCUUGUCGUUCAAAGCGGGAGGGCUCACGCCCUGGAACACCUUGUUGUUCAAAUUGGUGAGGGCUUAUGCCCUGUGAAUGCGUUAACCAUUCAAAUUCGGUGAGGGCCUCUGCCCUGUAAAAUGGUACCACAUGCAUAGUCGCAUUUGUUGAGGAGUCUUAGUGGUGUUGUCAUGUCAUUGCAUGAGUCGUUGUUGAUGAUUGAGUAGUACUUUCAUGCUAUUGAUUGAAGUUGAAUAUGUUGACAAUGAUGAUAUUUAGGGUGUUAGAUUCAAUUGAUGAAUUAUAAAUCUAUUAUUAUUGUUUGUGAAUCUCACCCCUUCUGCUUGGAAAUGUUGCCCUUUCUAUGGGUAACUUGCAGGUAAUCCAGAGUAGUAGAUGGUGGCUCAAGUGUCUAGGGCUCUGAUACGUAACGGGAUGGGAAAUAGUCGUUUAAUUUUCAUUCCUUAUGUAUCAUAUUUUGGAACAUGUUGUGGAUCCCUCAUUUAGUUGUUUGAAAUAACCUUUGAUGAAUAAUCUGUUGAGGCUUUUAUACCAGGAUUGUUAUUUGGAGAAUUAAACGUUUGAUGUUGAUGUUAUUUAUUAUUGAAAAAAAAAUAUUCCGCUGCAAGGUUUUGGUGAAACUAAUAAAGUUGAUGUUUAUUAAAUAGUAUUUUAUUCUAUUUAAGAAUUUUGAAAUAGCAGUGUAGCAUGCCCGUUUUGGUGACAAACUCUGAUUUAUUAUUAUAUUUAUAUUGUUGGGUUAACGGGGUGUUACAAUAUGUAGAAAUGUUUUUAAUGUUAUGUAAGAACUUGGAACCCUCGUUUUGUUGUUGAAAUUGAAAAUAAGCAAUUUUGUGAAAAUAGACGAACUUUGUCAAAAUGAGCUUUUAUGAUCUUAUACCUUGUGAUUGGUUUUUUAUUCAUGAUAAUAUGAUAAAAUACGAAUGAAUCAAUGUUGGAUUGGUGUGUAAUAUAUUGGUUAUCAUGAUUGGUGAAUUGUGGUAUGUGAAACCAUAAUGUUUCUUUGUGGUGAUAAAUGUUGAUGAUUUUGAUGAUGACGCUUUGUUGAUCAUAUCGAUUGAAGAUAAUAUUGCUUAUUCCUUUAGUUUAUGUUUUUAUGAUGUCUAAGAUAACUAGGUUUAUUUGAUGAUGUUCUUUUUUGUUGAUUAGCUUUAGCUUUAAAACUUGUUAAAGUAGUCUAGCAAACCAUGUCUCAUAGUGUCAUGUGAUUCUUUGAUAUCUUGUGUGUUGUCAUAUAUAGAAAAUCCUUCCAUGAAUUGCUUGAUUCUAUUCAUGAUUCAUUGAUUCAUAUCAAGCGUUCCUUUUGUCCAUUUUCCUUGUGUCACUCCUUUUGAAUCGUGUCAAGUUUUCCUGAAUAGUAUCAUAGUGAAUCAAUUCACAGUUUUUCUGAGUAGUAUUGCAGUGAAUCUAUUCACAGUUUUCCUGAAUCGAUUCACAGUGAAUCGAUUCACAGUUUUCUUAAAUCGAUUCCCAAUUGAAUCGAUUAAAAAAAAGUCUGAAUCGAUUCAAAUGUUGUUAGCAUCAAAUUUUCACUUCUUUCUUGCCUGAAUCGACUCAAAUUUCAGUGAAACGAUUCAUCAAACUCUCUGCCAUGGUCUGGAUCGAUUCAAACUUAUUUUGAAUUGUAUCAAACACCUUCUGGACUAUUUGAGUCGACUAAAUUAUCACUUGAUACGUUUCAUUCUUCAUCAUAAUUUUCCCUUGUCUUAUAUGGUCUGAAUCGAUUCAAAUAGUAAGUGAAUCGAUUCACACAAUUCAUUUGUGCAAAAAUUUGGCCUUUCCCUUGCUCCUAUAUAUUGUACUCUCCUCACAACUCCAAAUUCGUUGAAUCAUUUGCAUCUAUUCUCUCUAGGUCUAAAAAACUCAUUGUUCAUACAUUCUUCAAGAUUAAACACUUUUUCUUAGAAUCAUUUUGUUCUUUGAGUGUAUAGAUUCUCUAGGGUGCUAGUAGGGAUUGUAUGUUGGUUCUCUCAAGAAGACUGAUUGGGCUUAAUCAAGGCUUCAAAGGAAGUGAGUAAUCUCAUUCCACCUCAAAAGGACUUAGGGGUCUUUCUAACUGUUCUUUACCGGACGUAGCAUUGAAGACUCGAGUGAAGAGUUCGAAGGAGUGCACGGAUAAUUCAAGUAUUCGAAGAUUCAAGGAGCACCAAAUUCAAGGGGUACUUGAAGUUUGGCGGAGUGUUUUAUGUAACAGCCCGAUUUUCGUUAGAUUUAUUUUUUAAUUGUUUUAAUAUGUGUUUAUAUGUGCUUGUGUGUGAUUAUUUAUCAUUGGGUGUAUUUUCAUGGGUUUUCGUGUUAGAAGGGUAUUUUGGUCAUUUUUAAGUAAGGGUAAAUUAGUAAUUUUGGUGAGGAUUAUUUUUAGAGUUUUAGUGAGAACCAUUAUUUUACUAAGUUACUAGUGUGGUUAUUAGUAUUUUACCGUUAAGUGAUCGUUGUUGGUAUUUUACCGUUAAGUGAUCGUUAAUAGUAUUUUACCGUUAAGAGUGUAGAAACAUUUUAGAAUUGUGUUUGAGUGGGUUAAGUCCACUAAGGAUUUAGUGUAACGUCCUCUUUGAAUUAUUUGUUUUAUUUGAUUAUUUUAUUAAGUUUAGAGUCUUUUUGAAUAAUUUAUUUGAUUUAUGAUGAUGUGUGUUAUUUUUGUGUUAUAGGUUGGUGUUUUAGUAGCAUAUUAUAUUAUAAUAUAUAUUAUUUGGUGUAGAGAUAUUAUGUUAUUUGUUAGUAUAAUAUAUAUGUUAUUUGGUGUAGAAAUAUAUUAUAUUAUAUUAUAUUAUCUAGUGUAGAAAUAUAUUUGUUAUUUGGUGUAGAAGUAUUUUAUAUAUAUAUAUUAAAAUAGAAUAUUGAGAAUUUGGGGGCUAAUUUGGGAAUUUAGAAGAGUUUAAGAGAAUAAGUGGAGUUAAGAGAAAAUAGGUAAGUUAAGGUUAUAAAAAGAGAAAAGUGAGAAGUCAGAAUAGUUUUUCACGUAGAACCAGUUUUUGGAGAAAAAGGGAGAAAACUUAGAGAAGAGGAGGAACGAGAAGAGAACCUUGCAAUCGAUUUCUUAAGGUAAGGGUGGGACUAACAUUCAAUAAUCUUGAGUCUAUGAUUCUGAAAAUUGUAUUUAACAUGCUGUAGGUUUAGUUUUUGAGAAUUUGAGAAUUAGGGUUAAGGGUGAUGAUUGUGAUGAUUUUGAAUGAAAGUGAAGUUGAAUAAUAUAGGGUGCUUUUUCUGAUUUUUCUUUUCAUCUCUGCCCUGAAUUUGAAAUGAAAUCUGGUAUUGAUUGGUACAGAAUUGGUCUUAGGUGUAAACACAAAAGUUGUAGGUAUGGAUGUUAGCUUUCUAAUUCCGUUGGUUUGAUGUCAAAACGAUUUAUAGAACUUGAGUUAUUGUCAAAUUACUGCACGUAGGUCACAGUGAAUUUUUAUGAAUUUCAGCACAACUUUGUCCGAAUUUGAAAUGAAAACUGGUAUUGAUUGGUACAGAAUUGGUCUUAGGUGUAAACACGAAAGUUGUAGGUAUGGAUGUUAGCUUUCUAAUGCCUUUGGUAUGACGUCAAAAAAAUUUAUAGAACUUGAGUUAUCAUCAAAUUAUUGCACGCAGGUCAGAGUGAAUUUUUAUGAAUUUCAGCACAACUUUGUCCGAAUUUGAAAUGAAAACUGGUAUUGAUUGGUACAGAAUUGGUCUUAGGUGUAAACACGAAAGUUGUAGGUAUGGAUGUUAGCUUUCUAAUUCCGUUGGUUCGACUUCAAAAGGAUUUAUAGAAAUUGAGUUAUGGUCAAAUUUUUGCACGUAGGUCACAGUGAAUAAUUGAAUAUGAUUGAUGAAUUAGUAUAUGUAUGUAUAUGUUUGUGAAUACGAUAUUGUUCAUGAUUGAUGAAGUGUUAUAUGAAUGUAUAUGUUUAUGAGUAUGAUGUUGUUUAUGAUUGAUGAAUUAAUAUAUGUAUGUAUAUGUUGUGAAUACGAUAUUGUCCAUGAUUGAUGAAGUGUUAUAUGUAUAUAUGAUGUUUUAAGAUGUUGAUUAUUAUUUGAUGUUGUUAUAUCUUGAGGUGUUUAAGUGUUGCCUAUGUUGUUGUUGUUGGUUAUGUGAAAUGUUCAUAUGCUUUAUGUGGAGAAUAUAUGAUUUACUUUGAUGAUUAAUGUGAGAAUAUUUAUAUAUUGUGAAAGAUGUUGAUAUGAAGUUGUAAUGGUUGUAUUAGAUGAUUAUUGUUGAUGUUGACUUGCUGUAAAUUAUUUGAUGGUGUUGCCUUGCUGAUGUGAUGUAUUAAUAUCAUUAAGAUGCUAAUGUUGGUUUAAGUUGUAAGAUGUUGAUCCAAAUUAUUGGAGUCAUAAGAGAUGUCUAAGUUGUUAAGUCAAUUGUUAAGAUGUUGAGUCCAUUGCAUACUCAUUUACGUUGGGUGAGGGCUUGAUACUCUAUAUAUUUAUACAUAAUAUGUGAAGGGAGAGGGCUUGAUGCUCUGUGAGCCUAUUUACGCUCAAUAUGUUGGGGGCUUGAUGCCCUGGUUGGUACCACAUGCUUGAUUAAGAAGUUGAAGUUGCGUUGUCGUUGUCGUUAAGUUGUCAUUUGUCAAUGAGUUGUUAAUAAAGAACUAAGUGAAGUAUUAAUAUUUAUUAAUCGUUGUUGUUUAAGUUAUUAUGAGAUGAUAAAUAUGUGUUGUUAUAUUAUGAUGAGAUGAUGAAUAUUUUGUUGUUAUAUUAUUAUAAGAUGAUGAAUAUGUGUUGUUAUAUUAUGAUGAGAUGAUGAAUAUGUUGUUGUUAUAUUAUUAUAAGAUGAUGAAUAUGUGUUGUUUAUAUUAUUAUUAAGUGAUGAUUAUGUUGUGUUGUAUAUGAUUAUUAUUAUUAAGUGAUGAUUAUAUUGUGUGGUCUAAGUUAUUAUGAGAUGAUGAUUACGUUGUGUGUUAAAGAUGAUAUUUAUGAUGUGAUGAUCUAUGUUAGUUAUGAUUUGGUUAUUAUGUGCUAUAUGAUGAAGUUUAUAAUGUGAUGAAUAUGAAGUUAAUGAUAAUUAGAAGUUGGUUGAGUUAUUAAGAAUCAUUACAUAAAGGACUAUUAUUACUAAUAGAUGAAGUUAUUUAUGUUGUUAAAUAUAAUUAAUGAAUUAUAUGCUUGAUAUUAUUGUUUUGUGAAAUCUCACCCCGUCUACUUGGAAAUGUUGCUCUUCGUAUGAGUAACUUGCAGGUGAUCGAGUUUAAGUUGCUAUUAGAUUGCUGUCGUGAGUGGAUUAUCUCUCAUGUGUAUCUUUAGGUGCUCUGAUACGUAACGGGAUGAGAACUUUGUUGCAUGCUUUUCUAUUCCUUACGUAUUGCUUAUGAAUUUACAUGAUUAAGUUGUUAAUUGGAUUUUUAUGAGAUACUUUGAUGAGGCCUUCGUGCCAAAAUUAUUUUUAGAUGUUCGAAUAAAUUCCGCUGCGAAGUAUUGAAUAUUAUGUUAUUGAAUUUUGAAGGAUAAUUAGUUAAUUAUUCCGUUUAUGAUUUUAAAAAAAGAAGUGUGACAUUCCGUUUAUGUGAAUUACUCUGAUUAAUUAAAUGAAAUUUUUACUUUGGGAAAACGGGGUGUUACAUUUAGGGUUAAGCCCAUUAGAGGAAUAGCCUAUAUAAGCCUUGUCUUAAGAGAAAAUAUCAUUCAUUUUUCAUUACAUAAGAUAUUUUGAGAGAGGUAGAGAGAGAAAGUGAGAAAGAAGAGGAAAAAGGGGUUAGAGAAGAAAAAGCUUGAAGAUUCAAGAAUUGGAAGAUAUCCUAUGAGUUAAAGUGAAGCUUAGGUUAGGAAUUGGUGAUAAUUAAGGUAAGGGAAUUAGAAUUCAAUCAUAAUCAUUUUAGUGUAAUUUUUCAAUUAUUGUAUGAAUAAGUGCUUAAUUGAGUAAAUGAUUAAUUGUUCAUAGUUGUCAAAUUCGUGCUCUAAUUAUGGUGAUAUGUUUGAAUGCAUGAAAUUGUUGAUAAUUCAAUUGUUGUUGGUGAAAUUGCAUGUUCAAAGUAUGUGAAAAUGAUAUAUGUUGAACUAUGCUCCAAUUGUUGAUUCAUGCUAUGUUAUUAAGAAUCAUGUUCAAUUGAUGUUGUUGUUGCUAAAUGAUAUUGUUGUUGAUGAUUCAUGGCUUGAGUGUUCAUAAUUCAUGAUUAGAUGAUGAGAAAUGAGUUGUUGGUGGUGGUUUUGUAAAAUGGGUUGAUGAUGAAGAAGUUUUAUUUUAAUGAUGUUGAAUGAGUUAAGGAAGUUGUUACAAUGGAUUAGGAUGAUAUGAUUUUUUGUUUUAAUUGUAACAUCCCAUUUUCCCAACAUAAAAAUUUCAUUUAAAUAAUCAGAGUAAUCGACAUAAACGGAAUGUCACACUUCUUAAAAAUCAUAAAUGGAAUAAUUAACUAAUUUUCCUUCAAAGUUCAAUCAACAUAAAUAUUCAAAACUUCGCAGCGGAAUUUAUUUCAACAUCUAAAAAUAGUAGUCUUUGGCACGAAGGCCUCAUCAUAAAUAUCUCAUAGAAAUCCAGUCUAAAAACAUAGUCAUAAACUUCAUAAAGUAAUACGUAAGGAAUAGAAAAGCAUGCAACAAAGUUCUCAUCCCGUUACGUAUCAGAGCACCUAAAGACACACGUGAGAGAUAGUCCACUCACGACAGCAAUCUAACAGCAGCUUAAACUCGAUCACCUCCAAGUUACUCAUACGAAGAGCAACAUUUUCAAGCAAAACGGAUGCGAUUUCACAAACAAUAAUAUUAAGCAUAUAAUUCAACAAUUAAAUUGAACAACAUAUAAACAUUGUUAAUUAAUAAUAAUAAUUCUUCAUAUAGUGCUUCAUUAAUAGUCGAAUCCACUUCUAAUCAUCAUUAACUCAUUACCAAUAUAAACAACAACAUAAUCAUCAUCUCGUAAUAAUAUAAACAACAACAUAAUCAUCAUCUUAUAAUGACAUAAGCAACAACAUAUUCAUCAUCUUAUAAUAAUAUUAACGACAACAUAAUCAUUAAUAUUCCAUGGUUUGUCAUUAACAACUUCAACGAUUCGACGAUGACAACGUCAACCUUACAAUCAGUUACGUGAGAGUAUACCACCUCUUAUAAUACGACCACGUAAGAGUACACCACCUCUCGCAAAACAACAACAUAAGAGUACAUCACCUCUUAUAAAACAACAACGUAAGAGUACACCACCACUUAUAUAACAACAACGUAAGAGUACACGACCUCUUAUAAAACAACAACGUAAGAGUACACCACCUUUUAUAAAACAACAACGUAAGAGUACACCACCUUUUAUAAAACAACAACGUAAGAGUACACCACCUCUCACAAAACACCUGAACAUAAACAGUCACCAACAACAACUUCAACUAAGACUUCAACAACUUAAACAACAUUAACAACUUAAGACUCCAAUACUUUGGAACACUUUGGAAAGACAACUUACAACUUUACAACUUAGACAAACACCUGCAACUUGAUCAAUAUGCAAUAGCAACAGAAAUAGUACAAAAUAUUCGCAACAUAACAAUAUUAAUGAAAAACACCAACAACUUAAACAUCAUACAUUUUCCACAUAAGGUAUAUAAAUAUUUCACAUAACCAACAACAGCAACAUAGGCAGCACGUAAACAUCUCAAGAUAUAACAACAUCAAAUGAUAAUCAACAUCAACUUAAACAUCUUAUAUAAUUCACAUAAUACAUAUACAAAUAUAUUACAUUACUAUCAACAUUAAAUCAUAUUAUAACAGCUUCACAGAUCAUCAGUAAUAUUAUAUUCAACCUUCAUUCCUACCCCAAGGAUCAACUCACAACAUGGGUUAAAUACUCUUAAACAUCUUAAUUGAACUCAUAGUACUUCUAGUUUUAAGGGUUGGAAUUAUCCCAUAAGUUUUGGAUUAACUUAGAAACGGUUAUGCUGAAUUUUCAUAAGGUUAUGCUGAAUUUUCGUCGAACCAAAGUUAGAAAAUCAGCUCAGAAAUCGGUGGCCGAUUUUGGAAACUCGGUGGCCGAUUUUGAGCUUCACAGCAGUUCAAAAAUCAGUUUAACAAUGCGUUUUUCACUUAAGAAUCACUCUUAAUUCACUAGACUCAAACACAAACUCCCAAAUUUGUUAGGAAACUUAACCUAUGAUUAUUCUACAACCUGAACAUCAAUUCAUAUGUUAAUUCAUUGGAUUACCUACACUUUCAACAAUCAAAUUGCAAUUCAAAACCCUAACUUCUUUUCAAAACUCUAACUUCUUUUCACAACCCUAACUUCAUUAACACCUUAAUUCCAACAAUCAAUUCUACAAUUAAAACAACAAAUUACAACUUCUAAACCUAAUUCCCAAUUUUCCAAAAUCAAGAACAACCCACAUGUUAAAUCAAUUUCAGAAUUUACAUACACUAUAAUUAUUGAAAGUUAGUCUCACCCUUACCUUAAAAAAUCGAUCCGCAGCUCUCUCUUGGUUCUUCUCUCCUCUUGUUCUCCCUUUUCUCCAAAAUUGGUUGUACGUGAAAAUAAUUCUAAACCUAGUUUCUCCUAUUUAUCUCUUCAACCCUCUUUAUCUUAUGUCGACUUAUUCCACUAAGCUCUUCUAAAUUCCAAAACAGCCCCCACAAUCUUAAUCUUAUUUCUAUUUUCAAGACUUAUUCUAUUAAAUAAUAAAAUAACACUACUUAAUAAAAUAACGACACACCACAUAAUCAUUUAAAUCACAUAAAUACUAAAAUAAGCCACUUAAUAAAUCACAUAAUCAUAUAAAUAUAUUUUAAAUCUAUUAAAACAAUCAAAUCAUUCAAAGAGGGCAUUACAACUCUAUCCCCCUUAGAAGAAUUUCGUCCUCGAAAUUCAAAGCACACAAGAAAAUAAAUUCAAUUAUUGCUUAAAUAUCUUAAACUAUAUAUAGCCAAAUAGAAACUUCAAACAAAACUUACAAACCACAUUAAAGUUAAUCAAUCAAACAUGAUCACAUAAUAAACAUAGCCAUUAAUCAGGAAACACAACAACAAUCAAGACAACAUAAGACAGUAUUACAACUGUUACUCAACAAGACACGACUCAACUACUUGGACGGACGGACCAACCUGCUCUGAUACCAUUUGUAACACCCCGUUUUCCCAACAUAAAAAUUUCAUUUAAAUAAUCAGAGUAAUCGACAUAAACGGAAUGUUACACUUCUUAAAAAUCAUAAAUGGAAUAAUUAACUAAUUUUCCUUCAAAGUUCAAUCAACAUUAAUAUUCAAAACUUCGCAGCGGAAUUUAUUGGUGAAAACGAAACUGAAAUCGGAUCCAAAAACAAGAUUUUAUGCGCGAAAACGUAAAAAUGCAUUUUGUUGUACUAGUGAGGUGACACGACCGUCUCAGAUUCUCCUGUAAGGGAUGACACGACCGUGUGUCUAGAUGAUGCGACCGUGUCAGAUUCUCCUGUAAGGGAUGACACGACCGUGUGUCCUGAUGAUGCGACCGUGUCAGUUUUGCAGAAUUCUGAAACCUCAUUUUUUCGUGUUUUUGUGUACUUUUUAGCAUGCCAAUGGAUUCCAAACACCUAACCCUUUUCAAUCAAUUUAUAAUUAAGCUUCUAAGAGUAUCAUAGCUUGAUUCUAACGUGGUUUUGUUUUGAAAAUGAAUUGGUUUUGGAAUAUGGGAGAAACGAUACGAACUUUGCAAAAUUUUAAAAUGUAAGUGAGUUGGCAUAUGAGACGUUGAUGUAUACACUACUGAACUCGUAUGUGAUUUGUGUCUAUACUUAGUUGAGGUUUCCAAAUGUGUUUACUCUGUCUUGUCGAAUUGAAUUUUUAUGAAUUGGAUGAGAUUACAAGUUAAACCUACAGCUCAUAUAGACUUAGGUAAGAUUUGUAAAGUUGGUCAAACAUAUUAAUCAUGUUAAACGUGAAUUUCGGAUGGGAAUGUGGAAAAUGUUAACUUGGGUUUUAUCAUACGAACUUGAUCUAUUCUUUGAACUAAUGUCUAAUAGUUUGUAAGUGGCUUAAGCUCUUGAUUACAUGAUUGAUUAAGAUUGUUUGUAGGUUUUCAAACUUUAUAUUGUUACCUUACCUUGAGAGUUAUCAAUGUUGGUCGUUUGCCACUUGAUACAGUUUUAUCGGAAAUAAUUCCUUUAAGUCAAUUAUCUUAUAACCUUUUGUGACUAGCUUUAUUUGAUUAAAUGAAGUUAUGUUAAUGAUUGAUAGGUGUUGAAUAUGAUGUUUAUCAUAAGGUGUUGUAUUUCAUCUUUACUUGGAAUGUGGGGAACUCAUGUAUUGAUAUUGAAUUAUGUGAAGAAGAUGAUAAUUGUAGAUACAUAUAUAUUGACUAAUUAUGAUGUUGUUGGUGAAUAUAUAUGUUGAAUGAUUGUGGUGAAUUGUUGGUGAAUUCAUAUAUGUCAAGUAGCGGUGAAUUGUUGGUGAAUGCAUAUAUGCUAAGUGUUUGGUGAGAUUGUGGUGAAUUGUUUGGAUGAACAUAUGUAUUGUUGUUGAGAUAUAUGUUUAUGCAUACAUGACUGAUGGUGACGGAUUUUAUAUCCAAUGUGGUGAAUUGUUUGUGUGAACAUAUGCAUUUGUUGUUGAGUCAUAUGUUCAUGCAUUCAUGACUGAUGGUGACUGUUGCGCUAAAAACACACUUAGAGCAAGUGUACUCUAUCGCAGAAGUAGUAUAAAAGAUUAUCGUAUCCCCAGGGAUUAAUUAACAAGUACCAAACUAAUUAAGAUUAAUUUAUUAUUUAGACGAACAAGUAAUAGAAUGGUUUCGGUAACUAAAGAAAAAGUAAUGACGAAGAAGGAUAAAAAUGCGAAAAUGUAAUCAAUAAAGAGAGGUCUAGGGUCGCGGUUUCACUUGCAAGUUUCGAUUCCUUUUUGUCUAGUUCUAAUCAAAUUCCUAUUUUUAUUCAAUCACCAAUCCCUUUACUAAAACUAUUAAUCCGUUUGGUCAUUCGUGAUUAAUAUUCUUUUUCUUAAAUUAACACUUUGUUUGGUCAUUCAAAGAGUUGAAACCAAGAAAAGCACAAAGCACGAAAAGGUUGAAUGAUUGGAAGACUAAAAUUAAGGUUUGAUCAUGCAAUAAUUGUAGUCUCAAUUGUCCUAUAGGUCCACCAAUUAACUGCAGUACGAUCGCUGAUCAAUUAAUUGAUUGUUAACAUGCAAAGGUUUGAUCAUUCCUAAUCAUGUGAUAAAAUCAAUAGAACAAACUUGAUUGGAAUAAAAACUGAAAUUCAAAUUAAUAAACUAGAACAUUACAAGGUCUCUAAACUUGCAAGAUCCACCUAAGACCCUAGAGGAAUAUUCAGUUAUCCAUAAUCAAAAACAACACUAAAAUAGAGAUAGAAUUCAUGAAAUUAAGAACAAGAAAUAACCUAAAAGAAAGGGGAAAUUUUUGCUCCAAGACUUGAAUCUUCAAUUCCUAUCCCCAAACCAAAGCUCUUCUCUUUGUUGCAUGUAGUGUCUCUGUAAUGUGUGAAGUCAGUCGUCCUCCUUUGAUUUACAAUACUCUAUAUAUAGCCAUGUAGCAUUCCAAUUUCACCGCCCCAAAAUUCCUUAGACAGUAAGGAUUUUCUUCUUUCUACACCGCCUUCCUUCAAUUUGUUUCAUGCGACUGCCUCUUUGUUUCAAUAAGCCAAAGAACAUUCCUUUUCUUCAUCAGUAAGAGUUCUUUGUAUCACCGCCUCUGCCAUAUGCUUCAGCUCCUUGCUCUCUUUGUAUGCCGCCUCUGCCCUUGUAUUCUCACAUUUCUUUCUUUUUAUUUUCUCACCUAUAUCUCAUUCUUUUAUUGUGCAACAGCUACUUGUAUUUGUUUGGAGGAAGAUAAUAAGUCUAUCUUUUCCUUUUAAUUGAGAUCACCGCCCCUAACCUC